CGUACGGGUGCGGAACACGUGUGCAACCUGCCUUUAUCUGGGGGAUAGCCUUUCGAAAGGAAGAUUAAUACUCCAUAAUAUAUUGAACGGCAUCGUUUAAUAUUGAAAGCUCCGGCGGAUAGAGAUGGGCACGCGCAAGAUUAGCUAGUUGGUGAGGUAACGGCUCACCAAGGCGAUGAUCUUUAGGGGGCCUGAGAGGGUGAUCCCCCACACUGGUACUGAGACACGGACCAG
rnacentral:rRNA from 1 species